CAGUACUGAAAGGAAUAGAUCUGGGCCCUUGUGUAACCAAAUGGACAGUAGAUUACCUUUGUCAAGCAUCAGGGAAAAAAGAAGUAAAAGUUCAUGUUUCCACUGUGCCACAGAUGAACUUCCUUAGUAAGAACUUUGUGUAUAGAACAUUGCCUUUUGAUGUAUUUGUAAAAAGAGCAGCUGAAAUCAAACAUUCGGAUUAUUUUCUUUCAGAGGAUGAAAAGUAUUA